UCACAAAACAUCUUUAUUAAGUGGUGGUAUCUCUGUGUGUGUGUGUGGGAUCAAAAAAAAGGGUUCCAUCACUGACACACAUUCCCUAUCACCUCAGCAUCUCUACAUAAAUUGGUGGCAGCGGUGGGAUUCAAGGGGAUUCCAUCCUCUGCCACAUCAAGUCUUGACAUUAUUUGGUGGCAGCAGUGGGAUCUGAAGGGGAUUCCAUCAUCUGCCACAUCAAGGCUCACCACAUAAAUUGGUGGCAGCGGUGGGAUCUGAAGGGAUUCCAUCCUCUGCCACAUCAAGUCCCGACAUCAUCCUUUAACAAUGACAGCCUAAUGUACAAGAGUGCGUCAAAAAGUAAUGCCUUCAUCAAGCUAACUUAUUUCUUAUUUCACUUUAACAGCUACUGGACUAUCUAUGCAUGGAAUGAUAGCGGUAACCUUACUCUAAUGAUAUAGUAUUUGUGAGGGAAUAGGAAAUAAAGACUCCAUAUUGUGAUGAGUUAACUGGAAAGGGUUGCUAUGGCGACAGCUGCCUGGCUAUGUCAGCCAACAUUCUGAUUGGUUGCUGCCUUUGGCAGAGGCAGACCAACGGUUUUUCCAACUGACGUUUUCAGUUUCAGUUUGUCUUCUGGAGAGUGAGGGAAAAGGUGCUGACAGGACCACAAUGUGCUAGCACCUCAGGCUAGGUUUCUUCCCUUUAUAAGGGAAGCCAGACUUUGGUUUAAUAGAAAGUCUCCUAAACAGAGUUCCAGAAUUCAGAAUUCUAGGAAGCUUCUGAAUCCCAGGACAAUGAAGAUCCGUUUCCUCCUUGUGCUCACAGCUAUUGCCUUCAUCCUGGUGUCUGGAGGAUCAGCAUCUUCAGAUGAAAUCCCUGAUCCAGAUAUUCCUCCUGAGAGAAGCUCGAGAGAUGCUCAUGGCUAUGAAGAAAGGCUACUAGGCGGCGGCUCUUAUGGUCGUCCAGGAAAUCAUCUGCCUCAACUUUUGACUGGCGUACUGGACACAUUAGGCUGAGCAGCUAUCUCAGCUUUAAAGUUUUGAUUCUGUUGAGCAUUUAUGUUGGCAUCCAUAACAGAAUAAAAUAAAGUGGCCAACCCAUC